ACCUGAUCCGUCGGUGCUAGAGUCGGACCUGGACUUCUUGACGAAGUUCCACCAUGCCCUCUUGGAGCUUCAUCUUGAGGAAGGUGCUCUUGUUUGUCCCGAGACUGGCAGGAAGUUUCCGGUUAAUAAGGGAAUCCCCAAUAUGCUUCUGCAUGAAGAUGAGGUUUAAGGGAAUGGUGGUUGAUACGGCUGCGCCACUGGGCCUCACCGGUUUUUAAUUAGGGUUUAUAGUCUUUCAUUUUCUUUUUGUUUGUGUUGUUUUAAUUAUCAUGUCACUGAUUUUAAUUUAUUAAAUAAUGCAUUUUAAUGAAUCAAAGUUGCGAUGCAUUUAUCAGUAUUCAUAGAAAAGCUUGUGAUCGAAAUAAUAAUAAUGCAAUUUUAAUUUAUUAUGAUUAGUGUAAAUCAUUUCAUUUAAAUUAUUAAAUAUAAUUAAAAAUAUUAAUUAUUUUUAUAUUAAAUUGUUAUCGACAGUGAUGAAAUUUACAAUUUUUUUUAGUUAUUUUUAAAUGAAAAUAUAAAAGGGUUAAAGCACAAUUAUGCUAGUGAAUAUUGAAUUGAAUUAUAAUUUAUUAUAAUUGUUAUUAAAUAUAUAUAUAUUGAAAAAGCUUUCAUUAGGCAAGAGAAGUAGUUGAAUGUAAAAUUAGUAUAAUAAGAAAAUUAUUUUAUUUAAAAAAUACAAUGAUAAAUAUGAAUUGAAUUAAGAUAAAAUGGUAAAUUCUAAUUUUAAAAUGGAAAUUUAUAAAUGUUGACGAGAUAAUCUAUCAAUUUUGAAGUGAUAGAUCUUUCAAAUUUAAUAAAAUAGUUUUUAAAUAAAAUAUUUGCAUAGCCCAAAUUAUACCCGGGCUAAAAAGCCCAAUAUUUAAAAAACCAACAGCCCAAAACCCUUUAACACUAGCCCAUAGCAAUUAGAAAAAAAUAAGAGAAGAAGACUAAAAAACCUAGCCACCGUCCCUAUGCUUGACUGUCGGCUAACUACCCUGUCCCAUCGCCCAUACCGCCACUGGCCACCGCCCACUUGCGCCUGCAAAAUUAAAGGCAAAAAUGACAAGCCAAUUAAAAACUACUUUGUAAAUGGCUAUAUAAGCCUUGCAAUGUUAUGUAUUUUUCUCUCUGGACAAAAAAAAAAUAAAAAAGAGAUUCAAAAAAUAAAAAAAAAGAUUCAAGAAAACAGGAGCAAAAAAUAUAGUGAUUCCAAUAAUAUCAAAGCGAGAGAAUUGCAUCGAAUAAAAUCCAAUAUCAGAAAUCGAAAAAUCAAGAAGCAAAUACCUAAAGUGAUUGUGUUUUCUUUUAUUUUAUCAUUUUAUUUUUAUCUAUUGAUUUGCAUGCAUAUUUAUAUUAUAAAUACAUAAAAAAAAUAUAAUACAAAAAAAAGCACAAAAAAAUAAUAAAAAAAUUUACCUUUUUCGAUUUUCCUGCCACCGUGUGCGGUGGCCGGCUGUGACUGGCCGGAGUCCUCGCCGGAGCAUGUACCUGCAGAGAAAAAAAAAGUGAAAGCUGAGUUUUUUUAAAAAAAAAGAUGAGAAAGUGAUUUUUUUUUUAAAAAAAUUUGGCCUUAAAUAGAUCUCCAAAACAACGUCGUUUUGGGCAGGCCUUUUAAGCACCAAAACGACGUCGUUUUGAGCCUUAACCCAUGGCCGACCCGCGACCCGACCUGCUCCAACUUCAGGAUCCGCGUGUUUUCAUUGGAGGGUCUAUUUCCGCAUUUAGCCCCUCCGCUUCUUUUAUAUUAUGCAAUCAAGUUUUUUAGUUUUUUUAAAUUUGGACUCAAAAGUUGUUGUGCUUUAUAAUUCGGUCCCUCUGCUGCUAUGCGUUUUUGGUCGAAUGGAUUUAUUGCAUCACUAGUCCCUGC
rnacentral:lncRNA from 1 species